CCAAAAAAGGUGUAUUCAUCAUCCAAUGGAUUAAAAAUACGACCCGGUUCAAUAGGAAUGUAUUCCAGCCUAGAGCAUGUAGAAAUAAUUGGCAGACUCUAGAGGCAUAUGUACAGACUCGGAGGAGCAGAAACAAGCCUGUCCAGGGAAAAGAAGAUACAGGGGGACAUGAUUGAUAUUGAUGCAGGAUGAGAUUCUUACUCCAAAGCGAGAAGUAAACACUCAGGGGUCUUUCAGCUCUAGACGGUGAUGGAAAUUGCAAAAAAGCUGAGGAGGCGAAAGAGGAGGCCCGUUGGAUUUAGUACGAAAUGACGGAAGGAGAGGAGUGAAUGGAGAUCCUGCGAGACCCGCCACGCCCACGCACACGCACAAUGGCUACCCUUCACGACAAACUCGCGUUGAAAGUUGUACUCGCCCAAAAUACAUUUUCUAAUUAAAUGCCUUGAAAGUGUCCUUUGAACAAAUAAACCAGAACCA